AGGCUGACGCGAGCCUGUGCGAAGUGGGCUGAAAUUCAAGUCCCGUUUGGAGGAGUUUGGGGAUUAUGGUUUAGGACAUUGAGGACUUCGGAAUCCUGAACCGUGAAAGUCUGAGCUGGGCUGUCACAAGUUCAACAGGACCCCUCAUCAUCCAAUUCAUGGGACCGCUGUUGCUGCUCCUGAUAUAAGUUCUCUUUCUGAGGCCCUGACACCUUUAAUCACAAGACCUAGACUCUGCAGUUCCAUGUGUCUGUGCGCUUUCAGAAGACAGUAGGGGUUUAAGCAACACAGAGUUCUGGAGGCAGCAUCGGCAGGGGUGCCAGACUUCUGGAGACAAAGCAAAAUUUUUACAAAUGCAGUGAGUCUCUUAAGAGUGAAGAGGAGGAAAAUCCAGGUUAAAGAAGAAAGGAAGGAAGGAAAAAUGGGAAGAAGGAAGGAAGAGAGGGAAGAAAGGAAAGGAAAUGCUUAUAAACGAAGAAAGAAAAUGCUCCCCAGGAAAUUUUUACUAUGCACCAAUUUGGGGAGUCUCUAAUCCAGUGGUUUUUUAAAGUGUUUCCUCAACCAGGAACUUCAGCGUCACCUGGAAACUUGUUGGAAAUACAGCAUCUCCAGCCCCGCCGUAGGCCCGCUGAAUGGGAAAUCCUGAGGAUGAGGCCCAGCACUGUGUUUUAACAAGCCCUCCAGGGGAUUCUGACAGUCACUAAAGUUUGUGUCUUGCUGCCCUGGCCGAAAGCAUGUUUGUUUUUCAGUAAAGGCACAUCCACAUAUGACAGGCCCCAAAGAGAGGUGUCAUCUCUCUGGAAGUUUUGUUGCUCUUUCUCUGGUUCUCACAACACCAGGAAGAGUGGGCAAAACUAAAUUGUACUCUGGUUAUUGCAUACAUACCUCAUCAGUUUCCUAACUUACAGUAAAAUACGUUUGAGGUGAAUACAUGUGUUACUUAUCUGUACACCUCACAGCAAAAAUUAGUGUAAUGCCUUAUACAGUCAGUAAACAUUUGUUAAUGAACAAAAUAAACUGUCCUCUUAUAAAAAUCAAGUUUUCUGUUUGGAAGUUACAAAGGCAUCCAGGUCAGAUGAUGGCUCUUUAAUUACUGUCUGUGGGCACAUGUUCAUCUAAUAUUGCAAAUAUGAUGUGUGUGUUUACAGCUAAGUGGAAGUUAAUUUUCACAAUCAAGGUAAACAAGAAAAAUUAAGUAUUCUACUAAUUUCAGGUCAACAGCAUCCUUUUCCUAUACUAAGGAAUCUUCCAAGCAGAAAAGUUGAUUUUUAUAAGAGAACAGUUUAUUAGUUCAGUCCCAGGUUCUUAAAACAUACUCGGUAAAUCGUGACUGAUGAUGAUUAUGUUGAUAUCAGGGUUAUCAUGUCUUUUGAUAAAGACCUCACUGGGAGGGUGGGGUAUAGCAUGUGCUCAGCAUACGCAAGGUCCUGGGUUCAAUCCCCAGUACCUCCAUUUAAAAAAAAAAGUCACUGGGAAAUUUUAUGUCAUUCCUGACAACCUAAAACACACUUAUGCUGCUCAGAAAUUGGAAAACCAGAAAAAGUACAUUACGUGUUAUUACUGAAACAUGAUGAAUUUUGAAAAUGCUAAGAAAGACCAUAAAAUCAAACAGAGGCAGCCAAGAGCAAUUUCUUUCAUGACCACAGACCUAUAGGGCUCAGUUCAUCAAUAUUAGAAUUGUAUGUGUGUAGCUCAAUGGUUGUUAAGCUGCUUCUCUACAAACUACAAAUUAAUAUUAAUGAGAAAUUCAGUGGCAUUCAGCAGCAGCGUUCUGUCACUGUGCUAGAGUAAUCAUUGAUUUUAAUUUAAAAUAUUAAUGCAAUGCAGUUUUUUGUCAGCUUAAAGCUACAAUUGCACAGAAACAGCAAGUCCUAAGUCAGUGAGACUCUAUUAUAGGAGAUUUGAAAGCAAAACUGUCAACAGUGACUGGUUAGUAAGAAAUGAACUGCUCUCCAGCAAUUGGCCUAUGAUUAUGAAUGAUUACAUCCUUCCUAAUGAAUAACUGACCCCUGGGGUUAUUUGCUUUGCAGUUUUGGACCAAUCUGUUUAAAGAGCUGAAGGGCUGCCUGGUGUCAGAGGUGGAAUGGUUCAUUCUGAACAAGAAAUUCAAUCAUGAGGCCGAGGAACAGAGCCACCCAAACCAGCUGGCACUUUGUGCCAGAGGAGAGAAGAGCCAAUAGAAGAACUUGGGAAGGCAUGAGAGCAGAUGAGCAGCAACCUUUGUGAAGAAGCAGCAUCUCGGUGUGAGAGGCCUGAUGGGACGUUGACGAGUGUUACGGACCCAGCCCUACUUUUUACGACUGAAGGAGCAAAAACAGCGUGUUCUAGUGAUCUCAGAGUAGAGAAAAAAGACUUUUCUUAAAGGGAAGCUCUUUAAUCAAGGUAUGAUGCCAAAGCCUAAUUAGCAGAAACCAGACUCAGUCUCUCUUCAGGACCUCAGACCAAAAACUGUAUCAGAUGAAUGACAAUAUACAAGGAGAGAUCCUCUCUCCUUUUUCUUGCCUAACUCCAGGCUGCUGCUUGGUGUCUUGUUUCUAAAGCCUAUUUCCUAUUUCUUAGGGUAAAGGAUAAGCCCUGUUAUUAAUUUUGUUAUUAACACUAAAAGGCUUAUAAAUCACCUGCCUCUGAUAGGAAAUCAACAUCAGAAUAAUUUCUGGUGAAGUAUAUGUCUGGAUAUUUUGCCAUGCCUGACACAAAGUUAUGAUGAUGGAGUUUGAAGUGAAAAUUUCUUUUGAAGUCAUUGAAUUGGUGUUCCUCAUUCCCACUUAACUUUAUAAAGCAACAUACACAUUUGUAAAUUUUAUUUUUUCAUAAAGAAAAAAAUGAAAAUGCCAUAAAAUGCCAUUGGCUUUAAUUCUACAUGUUAAUUAAACUUGAUUUCUGAAGCAAUAGAUGUCAAUUUACAGGGUGAUUUUUCUUAAAAAAUAAAAAGCAAACAAUUAUUUGUUGACAUUAUGCUAUCCUUCAAAAGGUAAGGGCUAAGUUAAAUUCAGUAUAACAAAGGAACACCUAGUUAAUUGCCUGUAACGCCAUAUAAGCGAUAAUAUUAAUGAUGUAAUAAUGAGAUUUUUCCCCAGCAGAGAUAGGAAGAUAAGAUGUAGGUAUUGAACAGAAAAAUAAAUGCAUGUUAUUGAGCCUAAUAUUUCUAUUUGCUUCCAGUAGGUACAAACAAUAUACUCUGAAAAGCCUUAUGUUUAAUUCAAAGAAAGUACUGUUUCUCCAAAUAUUCAAAUGUGAUGAAAAGUGAAACUAUUAACACUAUUUCUACCUUUAAAAUGCUGUAUUUACAAAAAGCUUUGUAUGUUUGUAUAAUAUUUUGAAUGUCCAUGCACUAUAUGGAGCAUGGAUUAUUACAUUGGCAAAAAUGCUACAUUACGUGUAUUUUGGGAACAAGAUAGAGUAGAAAUAUUAAAAUUAAUAAGAAUGAGAAUAUUAAUAUGAACAUGUUUUACACAUCUCUAUAAAUUUUCAUUUUAUAUACAUGAAUGAUUAAAUACACAUUAUGCAUUUAUAAAUGGUAAUAUAAAUAGAAAAAUAACCACGGGCAGAAGGGGGACUACAUUGAAAAAAAGGCUUCACAAAAUGAUGACAAUGUAUGUACUUAUUUACAUAAAAUUAUAAAUGUGUGGGUAGAAAAAUUAGACGUAAAAAUUCCAACAGAAGCUAUUGACUUAUAGAAAGUCCAUGACAAAUUGUCCAUGAAAAAUAUUAGAGUUUAAAGUCUAUAAAUUAUAUUAUAUAAUGGAUAAAAGCAAACAGUGAAACAAGAAAGAGAAACCAGAGACAUUUGUGUAUAGAUGAUUAUACUUGCCUGUUUAACAAGGAGACGAUAUGAAAGGAUACAGACUGGCCCGUUAACAAUGGGUACCCCAGGAGACAAGGAAGCCAGGCGAGUGUUAGCAUUUCCUUUACACAUCUGUGUAUUAUUUCACUUAUGUAAACAUGCACUAGCAAUUUUUUCACAUUUAAAUCUUUUGUUGAAAUAAAACAGAAAACUACACAUA